UACGGAGGGGGCUAGCGUUGUUCGGAAUUACUGGGCGUAAAGCGCACGUAGGCGGCUACUCAAGUCAGAGGUGAAAGCCCGGGGCUCAACCCCGGAACUGCCUUUGAAACUAGGUGGCUAGAAUCUUGGAGAGGUCAGUGGAAUUCCGAGUGUAGAGGUGAAAUUCGUAGAUAUUCGGAAGAACACCAGUGGCGAAGGCGACUGACUGGACAAGUAUUGACGCUGAGGUGCGAAAGCGUGGGGAGCAAACAGG
rnacentral:rRNA from 1 species